AACGAACGCUGGCGGCAUGCCUAACACAUGCAAGUCGAACGCCUGCAGCAAUGCAGGAGUGGCAGACGGGUGAGUAACACGUGGGAAUCUACCCAGUAGCUCGGAAUAACCGCGGGAAACUGCGGCUAAUACCGGAUAAGCCCCGAGGGGGCAAGGAGCAAUACACUAUUGGAGGAGCCCGCGUCUGAUUAGCUAGUUGAUGGGGUAAUGGCCUACCAAGGCGAUGAUCAGUAGCUGCUUUGAGAGAACGACCAGCCACACUGGGACUGAGACACGGCCCAGACUCCUACGGGAGGCAGCAGUGGGGAAUAUUGGACAAUGGGGGAAACCCUGAUCCAGCAAUGCCGCGUGGGUGAUGAAGGCCUUCGGGUUGUAAAGCCCUGUUGUCGGGGACGAUGAUGACGGUACCCGACGAAUAAGCCCCGGCUAACUUCGUGCCAGCAGCCGCCGUAA
rnacentral:rRNA from 1 species